CGAACGGGUGAGUAACGCGUGAGCAACCUGCCUAUGACAGUGGGAUAGCCUCGGGAAACCGGGAUUAAUACCGCAUAAAAUCGUAGAAACACAUGUUUUAACGGUCAAAGAUUUAUCGGUCAUAGAUGGGCUGCGUCUGAUUAGCUAGUUGGUGAGAUAACAGCCCACCAAGGCGACGAUCAGUAGCCGGUCUGAGAGGAUGAACGGCCACAUUGGAACUGAGACACGGUCCAA
rnacentral:rRNA from 1 species